CACGUGAGCAACCUGCCCCUGACUCUGGGAUAAGCGCUGGAAACGGCGUCUAAUACUGGAUAUGUGACGUGACCGCAUGGUCUGCGUCUGGAAAGAAUUUCGGUUGGGGAUGGGCUCGCGGCCUAUCAGCUUGUUGGUGAGGUAAUGGCUCACCAAGGCGUCGACGGGUAGCCGGCCUGAGAGGGUGACCGGCCACACUGGGACUGAGACACGGCCCAGACUCCUACGGGAGGCAGCAGUGGGGAAUAUUGCACAAUGGGCGCAAGCCUGAUGCAGCAACGCCGCGUGAGGGACGACGGCCUUCGGGUUGUAAACCUCUUUUAGCAGGGAAGAAGCGAAAGUGACGGUACCUGCAGAAAAAGCGCCGGCUAACUACGUGCCAGCAGCCGCGGUAAUACGUAGGGCGCAAGCGUUAUCCGGAAUUAUUGGGCGUAAAGAGCUCGUAGGCGGUUUGUCGCGUCUGCUGUGAAAUCCGGAGGCUCAACCUCCGGCCUGCAGUGGGUACGGGCAGACUAGAGUGCGGUAGGGGAGAUUGGAAUUCCUGGUGUAGCGGUGGAAUGCGCAGAUAUCAUGAGGAACACCGAUGGCGAAGGCAGAUCUCUGGGCCGUAACUGACGCUGAGGAGCGAAAGGGUGGGGAGCAAACAGGCUUAGAUACCCUGGUAGUCCACCCCGUAAACGUUGGGAACUAGUUGUGGGGUCCAUUCCACGGAUUCCGUGACGC
rnacentral:rRNA from 1 species